CUCUUGUCGCUAAAAAUUCUAGAGCACUAAGACCUGACAGCCCCAUAAAAGGGGGGCCAUGACCCUACCCUGUGCUUACUGCUACGGGCCCAGUUAACCACCUUCCCAUCUAGUCGGGAGGUUUCUCCAAGCAAGAUACACAAGAACUGAUGUGAAGCUGGUGAGGGGGAAGCAUGGACCCAGGGAGGAGCUGGUCUAAUCCCAGGGGACAAGCCACCUCCUCCUGGCACACACAGCCACUGAUGCCACGGAUGUCAGGAAAAAACUUCAAAAUAGUGCCAUGGCCUCUGCAUUAAAUGGCACAAGAUUACCCCGGACCCAAGUUUCCAGGCUGAGAGUCAUCAGCCAGGUCCAAAUCAGAGAUAAAAGAAUCGGAG